ACGUAGGGUGCAAGCGUUGUCCGGAAUUACUGGGCGUAAAGAGUUCGUAGGCGGUUUGUCGCGUCGUUUGUGAAAACUCACAGCUCAACUGUGAGCCUGCAGGCGAUACGGGCAGACUUGAGUACUGCAGGGGAGACUGGAAUUCCUGGUGUAGCGGUGAAAUGCGCAGAUAUCAGGAGGAACACCGGUGGCGAAGGCGGGUCUCUGGGCAGUAACUGACGCUGAGGAACGAAAGCGUGGGUAGCGAACAGGA
rnacentral:rRNA from 1 species